rnacentral:rRNA from 1 species
UUAGGAAUUUUGGGCAAUGGGCGCAAGCCUGACCCAGCAACGCCGCGUGGGUGACGAAGGCCUUCGGGUUGUAAAGCCCUUUCUCGGGGAAGAUGAUGACGGUACCCGAGGAAGAAGCACCGGCUAACUACGUGCCAGCAGCCGCGGUAAUACGUAGGGUGCGAGCGUUGCCCGGAUUUAUUGGGCGUAAAGGGCGCGUAGGCGGUGGGACACGUUCGUUGUGAAAUCGCUCGGCUCAACUGAGCGGGGUCAGCGGAUACGGUCUCACUUGAGCAAGCUAGGGGGCAAUGGAAUUCCCGGUGUAGUGGUGAAAUGCGUAGAUAUCGGGAGGAACACCAGUGGCGAAGGCGGUUGCCUGGGGCUUUGCUGACGCUGAUGCGCGAAAGCGUGGGGAGCGAUCCGGAUUAGAUACCCGGGUAGUCCACGCCGUAAACGAUGCGGACUAGGUGUCGGGGGUAUCGACCCCCUCGGCGCCGCAGCUAACGCAUUAAGUCCGCCGCCUGGGGACUACGGCCGCAAGGCUAAAACUCAAAUGAA